AGCUCCUCCCCACCCCCACCCGCCUCCCUCCACCUGGCAGGUAGGCUGGGAGCAGACGCCAUUUUUACAAUAGGUGGAAGGAGAGUUGGGGCCUUGAGUUCCAGGUGUGACUCAUCAACUAAGAGCAGGAACAGCAUGGCCUAACCCUCGACCAAGUCACCUAACCCUCUAGGUCUCUCCCUUAAAAUGAGGAGCGACAACAAUGGGUGCUAAGUUUCUCUAGCUCUAAAGUUCCAGAAUUCCAGGGAGUCAGAAGAUGUUCAUAAAUCUUAAAGUAGCCCAAAGACUUAACGGCAAGUAAGCGGCAACCCACAGGUUGAUUCCUGGCCCCAACAUGUCAGUCACCGCCCUGGGCUGUGGGCCGACGAAACGACUCUAAUGUGGCGUGUGGACUGGGAGACAUCCAAAGAAGGUUCAGAGAGGCUGUGGGGCCGGCUCGGGCUACACCCCAGAGAGCCACGCUCCACCCCAGGAAUGACCAGGACACGUGCCACUUCAGGGGCGCCCCCGCAGGGCCCAACGGGGCUCCUCAUUGGGCCCCCACUGCUGUCCCAGCGGUGCAGGGAAAUGCCAAAAUGGGAUUCUAAGCAGAGGAGCAAGUGCAAGCCACGGAAAAGAGAAUGCAUUUUGAAGCGAAUAUGUUGGGAGAUGGGUUAACUGCAGUGGCUGAGAAGAAGGACUGGCAGCAGUCUGUUCAAAGACCAGCUUGGCCACUACUAGUCUGGGACCUUAUGCAAGAUGCUUUGUCUCUCAGCCUCAGUUUCUUCACUUGUCAAGAGAGAAUAUAACACCUACCUCAUGGAUUUUUUUAUUUUUUGUUUUUAAUGAUUAAGUGAUUUAAAUUGUUUAGUGCCUGUCACUUCAGGAAAUAAAAGGUUAAA
rnacentral:lncRNA from 1 species